GCUCACUUCCUCGCUUCCAACGCCGCCCUUGCCCUCCAAUUGAACGCCCAUUCCUCCACCCGAGAACAGGCCCAGUUGAGAGAGGUGACAUUGCAGGAGGAAAAUGCUGCAUAUGAAAAGGCUAUAUCAAACUGUGAAAGUAAAAUACAGGAGAAGAUUGAGGAAGCGGAGUUACUUAGGAGGAAGUUAGAGGAAUUGGAGGACACUGAAAAGAAUUUGAGAGAUGAGCUGGAAUGCACAAACAGCAUUGGAUACCAGUCGAUCUCGCGGAUCAGAUGAAGCUGUUGGCAACUCCAAAACAUCAGUUGAAACUGGAGAUGACAUGGAAUCAUCAAAGAAAGCUAUACUAGACAAGUUAGAGGAGAGGAAAAGAGAAUUGGUUCAUUGCUCUUUCUUUUGAUCUUAAAAUUUUCUCACAUCUUGUUCUUUUUUCAGAGUGCGUGUGCACCUGUGUUAUCUUAUUUUG